rnacentral:lncRNA from 1 species
CCCAGGGCAUGCCGCCGGAGCCUGGCCAGGACGCACGGUGAAAGACGAGUUUGGUGGCAGGCUUGACCCCCCGGCUGCCAGCAGAAGCCGGCGUCGGGAGCCCAGGCGGGCAGGCCGCUGGGGUCGGGGCUGCACGUACGAGAGCCGGGACGCCCGGGUUCAGAGCGAAGGAGGAGGCAUGGCUUCGGUGUUCAUGUGUGGCGUGGAGGACCUGCUGUUCAGCGGCAGCCGCUUCGUAUGGAACUUGACCGUGUCCACGCUGCGGAGAUGGUACACGGAGAGGCUGCGGGCUUGCCACCAGGUGCUGCGGACGUGGUGCGGGCUGCAGGACGUGUACCAGAGAUAAGGUCUCACCAUGUUGUCCAGACUGGACUUGAACUCCUGGCUUCAAGCAAUCUGCCCACCUCCGCCUCCCAAAGUCCUGGGAUUUAUAGGCAUGAACCACCGCACCUGGCCUCCCCACCAUUUUAUUUUCUCCCGUGGCUAUCACAACCAGGAAUAAGAGAGGGAGGGGGACCUCAGUGGUGAUUUUAUGCUAAGGAUUAUGGAUAACACCAUCCCCCCAUUUUACAAAUGAAGAAACUGGGGCUCAAAAAGCUUAAUUAAAUGUCUAAGGCCACUGAGGCAGCAAUUAAAGAGGAUGUGAAGCCAGUCUGCUUUGUCUUCUUCUGGAGCCUCUCCUUGAGGCUGACACACCUGAUCAUAGCCCCAUUAUCUUAAGAGUGUUAGCCAUAUCCAGUGGCCAGCACACUCUAGACACUUCUGUUAUUGUAGAGAGACCUGUUAGAGAUGGAUGCAAGAGAUUUACCCUUUUUCAGCCUUGCCUCUGCUGUCUUGGGGAAGUGGGAAGGUUGCUUUAAAUGACGUGUCUCGUGAUCUGUAAAUAAAAGAAAAAUAAUUUCUGGC